GAUAACAUCUACUCCAUAACUGAACACGCAAAACAGAAUGCAAAAGCAGCAAAAGCUAUAUACUGUAAAUAGGACAUAGGUCUUGAAGUGGAUUUAAAAAUGGCGGUAUGGUCUCUACGUCUACCAUUAACAAACCUCUCAAGAACUAGUAAUGGUAGCAUUAAUGGCAGACUUAAACCCUUUUCACAUCCCUCUACUUUCUCUUUCUCCUUCUCCAACCAUCCAAUUCGCUUAAACAUACUACUACUUGCUCAAUAUUCCUCCACUACUUCAUCAUCAUCUACAAUCUCUGCUUUUUCUCAAACUCAAACGCAAAUUCAAACUCAAAUUCAUGAAUUAAUCGAUUCUCCAUUGAAAUGGGAAGCUUUUCGGAAGAAGAAAGUUGUUAUGCGCGUUGGUUAUGUUGGUACUAACUACAAAGGUUUGCAGAAGCAACGAGAGGAUAAUAUUCGUACCAUUGAAGAAGCCUUGGAAAACGCCAUUUACAAAGCGGGUGGCAUCCAGGAUAGCAAUUAUGGUAACUUGAACAAAAUUGCAUGGGCCAGAAGUAGCCGAACUGAUAAAGGAGUUCACUCACUGGCCACUACAAUAUCUUUGAAGUUGGAAAUCCCUAAAGAUGCGUGGAUGAAUGAUCCCAAUGGUCUUGUUCUUGCAGACCAUGUUAACUCUCAUCUUCCUGAUGAUAUCAGAGUGUUUAGUAUAUUGCCUUCUCAAAGGAGCUUUGAUCCUCGGCGGGAAUGUCAUGUCCGAAAUUAUACUUACCUCCUUCCGGCUGAAAUUAUUGGAAUAACAAGCCACUCCACCACUUCUGAAAUCGACUAUCAUAUAAAAGAUUUUAACGAGAUUCUGAACUAUUUCGAGGGAGACCACCCUUAUCAUAAUUACACGGCCAGGUCAAAGUACCGAAGAAAACCACCAAAAGGUCGUGCAAAUCGAAGACACAAAUCACCUAAUAACACACCACCUGUUGAGGUUGAGGAAAAUCAUGCUGAUUGUCAAUUGUCAGUUGAUGAGGUUGAUACAUUGAGUGAUGAAGAAUUGAUCACUAAUCCUUCAGACAACAGUGAUUCUGAUGAGCAGUUUGAUUCUGAGGAUGGGCAAGGGGGCGAGUCAGGAAAGAAAAACUCAAUUGAAGUUGUUCGUGCUAGAUGGCUUCAUGAGUGUGAUGAAGCGGACAGGCUCAGUGCUGCUCACUGGAGGAAAAUAUUCCAGUGUUCUUGUGGCAAGUUGGAUCGGUCACUUGAGAUGAGUUUCGUGGAGCUCUCUAUAUGUGGGGAGUCUUUCAUGCUGCAUCAAAUUCGCAAAAUGGUUGGCACCGCUAUAGCAGUUAAACGUGGAUUGUUCCCCAGAGAUAUUAUCAAGUUGUCACUCAACAAGUUUUCAAGGAUUGUCCUACCUCUUGCUCCUUCAGAAGUUUUAGUUUUGAGAGGAAAUGACUUUAGAUUGAGAAAGCAGCCUGGGAAUAAAAAAAGGCCGGAGAUGCACAUCUUAGUCGAUUCCAAAGAAAUUAACAGUGUAGUUGAUAAAUUCUUUGCAACUGUACUGCUAACUCAGUUGUCUAAGUUUUUGGACCCUUCUGAAUCUCCCUGGAAAGACUGGCUUGAGAUUUUGGAUGCCAAUGUGAGCAUACCAGAAUCACAGUUGGAUGAAGUCAGAAAUGCCUGGAAUGUUUGGAAUGAAGGAUUCCAAAACAGGAUUCUUCCGAAAAAAGAAAACUGACGUCCUGGGUGAGUGAUUUGAUAUGAGUGUAUCAAUUUCGAAGUUGACAAAUUAUGCUACAUGGUGCUGAUCAGCCAGGAGCUUUGUUAAGCAUGAGCCUCUUGCUGCAGGAGUACGGUGACAUACUGACAUGUUGAGGGCUGAGAAUUGUGCUCUUGAAGAAGCAGAUACCCAAUUUUAAUGUCAAUUAAUGCCUCAGCUACUUUCUAAAGCAAAGAAAUGUCACUUUAUAGCCUCCACAAUUUUUAUGAUGUACUAGUGUUGCUCUAUUACAGGGGAAGAAUACAGUUGGGAAUGUGUUUAGUCGUUUUUCUUUCGAUGCUCUAUUUUGACUUUCGUGUUUGUUGGUGCAUAAGUUUAAUCAUUUAUAUUUUUAGUUAUUUGAUGAAACUAUAUCGGUCUUUAAUUUAUAUGAAACAUGAAUAGAGGAAAUGGAAAGAGCAAUACAGAUGGUGUUCGUGUUAA